rnacentral:lncRNA from 1 species
UUUACCAAUGAAAGAGGCUAAUGCCAAAGAUACCCAGACUGAUUUAUUGCUCCAAAUGUUUAAACAAAUGGAGUUAUUACAAGAAUGAGUUAUUACACUAACUACUGAAGUUACAAAUGUAAAAGUGCAAGUCGAGCACUAUAAAAAAUAAGAUACUGUGCAGGAAGAGCACAUUAAAAAACUAGACCUAGAAGGUGAAGAUGAAAAAUACCUUAAAACUCAAAUUACU